GACGAACGCUGGCGGCGUGCUUAACACAUGCAAGUCGAACGGAAAGGCCCUGCUUUUGUGGGGUGCUCGAGUGGCGAACGGGUGAGUAACACGUGAGUAACCUGCCCUUGACUUUGGGAUAACUUCAGGAAACUGUGGCUAAUACCGGCUAGGAGCUCCUGCUGCAUGGUGGUGGUUGGAAAGUUUCGGCGGUUGGGGAUGGACUCGCGGCUUAUCAGCUUGUUGGUGGGGUAGUGGCUUACCAAGGCAUUGACGGGUAGCCGGCCUGAGAGGGUGACCGGCCACAGUGGGAUAGGGGUGCGGGCCGGAGGCAUACGGGGGGCAGGGGUGGGGAAUAUAGCAAAAAGGGCGGAAGGCGGAUGGAGCAACGCCGGGUGCGGGAUGACGGCCUUCGGGUUGUAAAACGAUUUUGCCUGUGACGAGGCGUGAGUGACGGAAAUGGGGAAAGAAGCACCGGCUAACUACGU
rnacentral:rRNA from 1 species